CGCUGGCGGCACGCUUAACACAUGCAAGUCGAACGGAGAUAAUUGAGUUACUUAGAUUAUCUUAGUGGCGGACGGGUGAGUAACACGUGAGCAACCUACCUCAGAGAGAGGGAUAGCUUCUGGAAACGGAUGGUAAUACCUCAUAACAUAACUGAACCGCAUGAUUUAGUUAUCAAAGAUUUAUCACUCUGAGAUGGGCUCGCGUCUGAUUAGAUAGUUGGUGAGGUAACGGCUCACCAAGUCGACGAUCAGUAGCCGGACUGAGAGGUUGAACGGCCACAUUGGGACUGAGACACGGCCCAGACUCCUACGGGAGGCAGCAGUGGGGAAUAUUGCACAAUGGGGGAAACCCUGAUGCAGCGAUGCCGCGUGGAGGAAGAAGGUUUUCGGAUUGUAAACUCCUGUCUUAAAGGACGAUAAUGACGGUACUUUAGGAGGAAGCUCCGGCUAACUACGUGCCAGCCGCCGC
rnacentral:rRNA from 1 species